rnacentral:rRNA from 1 species
CACGUAGUUAGCCGGUGCUUAUUCUGCAGGUACCGUCAGUUUCACGGGGUAUUAACCCAUGACGUUUCUUUCCUGCCAAAAGUGCUUUACAACCCGAAGGCCUUCAUCGCACACGCGGGAUGGCUGGAUCAGGGUUUCCCCCAUUGUCCAAAAUUCCCCA